rnacentral:rRNA from 1 species
AUUCCAGCUUCAGUAGCGUAUAUUAAAGUUGUUGCAGUUAAAAAGCUCGUAGUCGCAUUUCUGGCGAGAGGAAUUGGUCCGACAUUUAUUGUGGGUACUCGAUUCUCUCUCGCCAUCCUUGAGUGGUCCGUUCUGGCAUUUAGUUGUCGGAGCGUCAGCCGCUCAUCGUUUACUGUGAGAAAAUUAGAGUGUUCAAAGCAGGCUUAUGCCGUUGAAUAUAUUAGCAUGGAAUAAUAAGAUAGGACCUCGGUGCUAUUUUGUUGGUUUGCGCACAGAGGUAAUGAUGAACAGGGACAGUUGGGGGUAUUUGUAUUUCGUUGUCAGAGGUGAAAUUCUUAGAUUUACGAAAGACAUACUACUGCGAAAGCAUUUACCAAGGAUGUUUUCAUCA